GAGCUUGUGCCUCAGUAGCCGCAGUUGCCCUGGUGGCUGUUCUGGAAGAGAUCUGAAAGCGGGCUGGCCUGGAUCGUGACAGCCCCACAUCUCUCGUCCUGGUUUAGAAUUGUAUCCCCAACCGUAAUCUUGGAGUGGAUAUCUGGGAUUCUGAUGAAGCAGCCAAUCUCCCAUCCAAUUCUAUGGAUGAAAUCAUGGAUUGACUCUCAAAAUGAAGACUUUCGUGGAACAUGGCUCAGGAAGCCACCAAUCAAGGAGAGUGGGAGAUACAUGGAGCAGGCCUGAACUUGACCUACUGCCGGAAGUAGAGGUACUAGCUGAUUUGAGACCCAGGAACAUGAAAAUCAAUGUUUAUUGUGGUAA